rnacentral:rRNA from 1 species
GACGUAGGGCGCGAGCGUUGUCCGGAUUUAUUGGGCGUAAAGAGCUCGUAGGCGGCUUGUCGCGUCGAAUGUGAAAACCCACGGCUCAACUGUGGGUUUGCAUUCGAUACGGGCAGGCUAGAGUUCGGUAGGGGAGACUAGAAUUCCUGGUGUAGCGGUGAAAUGCGCAGAUAUCAGGAGGAACACCGGUGGCGAAGGCGGGUCUCUGGGCCGAUACUGACGCUGAGGAGCGAAAGCGUGGGGAGCGAACAGG